rnacentral:rRNA from 1 species
AGCCGGCGAUGUCCGAAUGGGGAAACCCAGUGCAAUUCGUUGCACUAUCGUUAACUGAAUACAUAGGUUAACGAGGCGAACCGGGGGAACUGAAACAUCUAAGUACCCCGAGGAAAAGAAAUCAACCGAGAUUCCCCCAGUAGCGGCGAGCGAACGGGGAGCAGCCCAGAGUCUGAAUCAGCUUGUGUGUUAGUGGAACGGUCUGGAAAGUCCGACGGUACAGGGUGAUAGUCCCGUACACCAAAAUGCACAGGCUGUGAACUCGAAGAGUAGGGCGGGACACGUGGUAUCCUGUCUGAAUAUGGGGGGACCAUCCUCCAAGGCUAAAUACUCCUGACUGACCGAUAGUGAACCAGUACCGUGAGGGAAAGGCGAAAAGAACCCCGGCGAGGGGAGUGAAAAAGAACCUGAAACCGUGUACGUACAAGCAGUGGGAGCACCUUCGGGUGUGACUGCGUACCUUUUGUAUAAUGGGUCAGCGACUUAUAUUCUGUAGCAAGGUUAACCGUAUAGGGGAGCCGCAGGGAAACCGAGUCUUAACUGGGCGUUAAGUUGCAGGGUAUAGACCCGAAACCCGGUGAUCUAGCCAUGGGCAGGUUGAAGGUUGGGUAACACUAACUGGAGGACCGAACCGACUAAUGUUGAAAAAUUAGCGGAUGACUUGUGGCUGGGGGUGAAAGGCCAAUCAAACCGGGAGAUAGCUGGUUCUCCCCGAAAGCUAUUUAGGUAGCGCCUCGUGAAUUCAUCUUCGGGGGUAGAGCACUGUUUCGGCUAGGGGGUCAUCCCGACUUACCAACCCGAUGCAAACUACGAAUACCGAAGAAUGUUAUCACGGGAGACACACGGCGGGUGCUAACGUCCGUCGUGAAGAGGGAAACAACCCAGACCGCCAGCUAAGGUCCCAAAGUCAUGGUUAAGUGGGAAACGAUGUGGGAAGGCACAGACAGCCAGGAUGUUGGCUUAGAAGCAGCCAUCAUUUAAAGAAAGCGUAAUAGCUCACUGGUCGAGUCGGCCUGCGCGGAAGAUGUAACGGGGCUAAACCAUGCACCGAAGCUGCGGCAGCGACACUAUGUGUUGUUGGGUAGGGGAGCGUUCUGUAAGCCUGCGAAGGUGUGCUGUGAGGCAUGCUGGAGGUAUCAGAAGUGCGAAUGCUGACAUAAGUAACGAUAAAGCGGGUGAAAAGCCCGCUCGCCGGAAGACCAAGGGUUCCUGUCCAACGUUAAUCGGGGCAGGGUGAGUCGACCCCUAAGGCGAGGCCGAAAGGCGUAGUCGAUGGGAAACAGGUUAAUAUUCCUGUACUUGGUGUUACUGCGAAGGGGGGACGGAGAAGGCUAUGUUAGCCGGGCGACGGUUGUCCCGGUUUAAGCAUGUAGGCUGAUUGUCCAGGCAAAUCCGGAUAAUCAAGGCUGAGGUGUGAUGACGAGGCACUACGGUGCUGAAGUAACAAAUGCCCUGCUUCCAGGAAAAGCCUCUAAGCAUCAGGUAACAUCAAAUCGUACCCCAAACCGACACAGGUGGUCAGGUAGAGAAUACCAAGGCGCUUGAGAGAACUCGGGUGAAGGAACUAGGCAAAAUGGUGCCGUAACUUCGGGAGAAGGCACGCUGGUGUGUAGGUGAAGUCCCUGCGGAUGGAGCUGAGACCAGUCGAAGAUACCAGCUGGCUGCAACUGUUUAUUAAAAACACAGCACUGUGCAAACACGAAAGUGGACGUAUACGGUGUGACGCCUGCCCGGUGCCGGAAGGUUAAUUGAUGGGGUUAUCCGUAAGGAGAAGCUCUUGAUCGAAGCCCCGGUAAACGGCGGCCGUAACUAUAACGGUCCUAAGGUAGCGAAAUUCCUUGUCGGGUAAGUUCCGACCUGCACGAAUGGCGUAAUGAUGGCCAGGCUGUCUCCACCCGAGACUCAGUGAAAUUGAACUCGCUGUGAAGAUGCAGUGUACCCGCGGCAAGACGGAAAGACCCCGUGAACCUUUACUAUAGCUUGACACUGAACAUUGAGCCUUGAUGUGUAGGAUAGGUGGGAGGCUUUGAAGCGUGGACGCCAGUCUGCGUGGAGCCAACCUUGAAAUACCACCCUUUAAUGUUUGAUGUUCUAACGUUGGCCCCUUACCGGGGUUGCGGACAGUGUCUGGUGGGUAGUUUGACUGGGGCGGUCUCCUCCCAAAGCGUAACGGAGGAGCACGAAGGUUAGCUAAUCCUGGUCGGACAUCAGGAGGUUAGUGCAAUGGCAUAAGCUAGCUUGACUGCGAGCGUGACGGCGCGAGCAGGUGCGAAAGCAGGUCAUAGUGAUCCGGUGGUUCUGAAUGGAAGGGCCAUCGCUCAACGGAUAAAAGGUACUCCGGGGAUAACAGGCUGAUACCGCCCAAGAGUUCAUAUCGACGGCGGUGUUUGGCACCUCGAUGUCGGCUCAUCACAUCCUGGGGCUGAAGUAGGUCCCAAGGGUAUGGCUGUUCGCCAUUUAAAGUGGUACGCGAGCUGGGUUUAGAACGUCGUGAGACAGUUCGGUCCCUAUCUGCCGUGGGCGCUGGAGAAUUGAGGGGGGCUGCUCCUAGUACGAGAGGACCGGAGUGGACGCAUCACUGGUGUUCGGGUUGUCAUGCCAAUGGCACUGCCCGGUAGCUAAAUGCGGAAGAGAUAAGUGCUGAAAGCAUCUAAGCACGAAACUUGCCCCGAGAUGAGUUCUCCCUGAGACUUUAAGUCUCCUGAAGGAACGUU